rnacentral:rRNA from 1 species
UACGGAGGGGACUAGCGUUGUUCGGAAUUACUGGGCGUAAAGCGCGCGUAGGCGGUUUUUCAAGUCGGGGGUGAAAGCCCGAGGCUCAACCUCGGAACUGCCCUCGAUACUGCAAAUCUCGAGUCCGAGAGAGGUGAGUGGAAUUCCUAGUGUAGAGGUGAAAUUCGUAGAUAUUAGGAAGAACACCAGUGGCGAAGGCGGCUCACUGGCUCGGUACUGACGCUGAGGCGCGAAAGCGUGGGGAGCAAACAGG